GACGAACGCUGGCGGCGUGCUUAACACAUGCAAGUCGAACGGAAAGGCCCUGCUUUUGUGGGUUUCUCGAGUGGCGAACGGGUGAGUAACACGUGAGUAACCUGCCCUUGACUUUGGGGUAACUUCAGGAAACUGGGGCUAAUACCGGAUAGAAGCUCCUGCUGCAUGGUGGUGGUUGGAAAGAUUCGGCGGUUGGGGAUGGACUCGCGGCUUAUGCGCUGGAUGGUGGGGUAGGGGCUUACCAAGGCUUUGACGGGUAGCCGGCCUGGGAGCGUGACCGGCCACAUUGGGACUGCGAUACGGCCCAGACGGCUACGGGACGCAGUGGUGGGGAACAUUGCGGAACGGGCGGAAGCCUGAUGCAGCAAUGCCGCGUGCGGGAUGCCGGCUUUCUGGGUGAAAACCGCUUUCGCAGUUGACGAAGCGGGAGUGACGGUAAUGGGUAAGGAAGCACCGGCUAACUACGUG
rnacentral:rRNA from 1 species